rnacentral:rRNA from 1 species
CUGGGGUGAUUAGUGGCGAACGGGUGAGUAACACGUGAGUAACCUGCCCCUGACUCUGGGAUAAGCCCGGGAAACUGGGUCUAAUACUGGAUAUGCACCGUGGACCGCAUGGUCCUUGGUGGAAAGAUUUUUUGGUCAGGGAUGGACUCGCGGCCUAUCAGCUUGUUGGUGAGGUAAUGGCUCACCAAGGCGACGACGGGUACCCGGCCUGAGAGGGUGACCGGCCACACUGGGACUGAGACACGGCCCAAACUCCUACGGGAGGCAGCAGUGGGGAAUAUUGCACAAUGGGCGAAAGCCUGAUGCAGCGCCCCCGCGUGAGGGAUGACGGCCUUCGGGUUGUAAACCUCUUUCCGUAGGGAAGAAGCGAAAGUGACGGUACCUGCAAAAAAAACCGCCCCUAACUACGUGCCAGCAGCCGCGGAAAUACGUAGGGCGCAGCGUUUUCCG